rnacentral:rRNA from 1 species
AACGAACGCUGGCGGCAGGCCUCAAACAUGCAAGUCUAGGGGGCGUAGCAAUACGUCACCGGCGGACGGGUGCGUAACACGUGGGAAUGUACCUAUUGGUUCGGAACAACGCAGGGAAACUUGCGCUAAUGCCGGAUGAGCCCGAAAGGGGAAAGAUUUAUCGCCAGUAGAUCAGCCCGCGUAGGAUUAGCUAGUUGGUAGGGUAACGGCCUACCAAGGCAACGAUCCUUAGCUGUUCUGAGAGGAAGAUCAGCCACACUGGGACUGAGACACGGCCCAGACUCCUACGGGAGGCAGCAGUUGGGAGUCUUGGACAAUGGACGAAAGUCUGAUCCAGCCAUGCCGCGUGAGUGAUGAAGGCCUUAGGGUUGUAAAGCUCUUUUACCCGGGAAGAUAAUGACUGUACCGGGAGAAUAAGCUCCGGCUAACUUCGUGCCAGCAGCCGCGGUAAUACGAAGGGGGCUAGCGUUGUUCGGAAUUACUGGGCGUAAAGCG